rnacentral:rRNA from 1 species
CGGGGGGGGCAAGCGUUGUUCGGAAUUACUGGGCGUAAAGGGCGCGUAGGCGGUUUGCUAAGUUGAAUGUGAAAACUCUGGGCUUAACCCAGAGCCUGCACUCAAUACUGGCAGGCUAGAGUUCUGGAGGGGAUAGCGGAAUUCCUGGUGUAGCGGUGAAAUGCGUAGAUAUCAGGAGGAACACCGGUGGCGAAGGCGGCUAUCUGGACAGAGUCUGACGCUGAGGCGCGAAAGCUAGGGGAGCAAACAGGAUUAGAUACCCUGGUAGUCCUAGCCCUAAACGAUGGAUACUUGCUGUGACUGGGAUUGAAUCCAGCCGUGGCGAAGCUAACGCAUUAAGUAUCCCGCCUGGGGAGUACGGUCGCAAGGCUG